rnacentral:lncRNA from 1 species
AUAACCUACUAAGAGUUCCUCCAAAACUCUCGAAUUCCAAUGAGGGAUAUGGAAUUUGCCAAAAAUAGUGGGUGGUGCUAUUUGAUUUAAAGACCCGAAUCAAAUGGCUUAAAAUCAAACAAUUUAUAUUCGUUAUGUAUUUGUUUACCAAUAUAUUUGCAAACGCUAUCCAACACUUGACAAAUAAAACCAAACGUUUUAGUUUCCGGACUUAGUACCACAAUCCCAAAGAAUGUCUUAUAAAGAUUGCAUAUGUAUCUAAGUAGUCUCAUCCUCACAAUCUUCCUAAUGAUAAUGUAUCAUGGAAGAACAUGUUAGAAAAAGUCUAUCAUGAAGGGACAAAACAACAACAAUGCUUAAUCCUUUGUUAAAUGAACAAGGACACUUUUAGUGUUAUUAGUUCUUCACUUACAAAUCGUUGUAUGAAGAAAUAAUAGUUGCUUUGAACAACCCUUAGUCAAUGCAACACUAGUGCUUGUUUCUUUGUAAAUGAACAAAGAACUUGAGAAGAAAGCACAAAGGCAUGGACACUUUAUGUGCCAUGUUCUUCACUUACAAAAUUGUUGUAUGAAGAAUUUGAGAGUUGCCUUGUACAACUCUUGAAAGUUUGUAAUUAUGUUUAGAACAUAAUGGUUGGUUGACAAAAUAGUCCAUUAACAUGGACUUAUGAUGAUUUUGAAUCAUUGAGUGUUGAAGUGAUAAACCACUUAAUGAGACGGAAACUAGGCAAGGACUUCACCUUUGUGUCCCUAUCCUUAUGGUUCACUAAGUUUAUUGUAAACUAUAUAGUGAACAAAAACCACAUGCUCUCCAAAAUGUUUGAUGUGUAUAACACAAUUGAAAUAAGUUUCAAGAGAGAUAGUGGAGUUAGGGACCAUGACUAUUGUAGUCAAAGGAGAAGUCAAAUGAAGAAGAUUAAAAUUAACUCCUAAGGAACAAACUUUCUUUAUGAAAGGAUGGACAUUGGAAAGGGUAUUUGCAAGAAAUGUCUUGUAAGUGUCAAGAACACACCUUUCGAAGGUGUUGUAAAUUGUUCUUGAAUAGUUCAAAACAG